rnacentral:rRNA from 1 species
AUUCCAGCUCCAAUAGUGUAUAUUAAAGUUGUUGCAGUUAAAAAGCUCGUAGUUGGAUUUCUGGCGGGAGCGAUCGGUCCUUCACUCAGUGUUGGAACCUGAUUGUCUCCUGCCAUCCAUGGAGAAAACUUAUCUGGCAUUAAGUUGUCGGGUAGGCAAUCUCCAUCUUUUACUGUGAAAAAAUUAGAGUGUUCAAAGCAGGCUUAUGCCGUUGAAUAUAUUAGCAUGGAAUAAUGGAAUAGGACCCUGGUUCUAUUUGUUGGUUUUGAGAACCAGAGUAAUGAUUAAUAGGGAUAGUUGGGGGCAUUCAUAUUUCAUUGUCAGAGGUGAAAUUCUUGGAUUUAUGAAAGAUGAACUUCUGCGAAAGCAUUUGCCAAGGAUGUUUUCAUUA